rnacentral:rRNA from 1 species
CGGCGGACGGGUGAGUAAUGCCUAGGAAUCUGCCUGGUAGUGGGGGACAACGUCUCGAAAGGGACGCUAAUACCGCAUACGUCCUACGGGAGAAAGCAGGGGACCUUCGGGCCUUGCGCUAUCAGAUGAGCCUAGGUCGGAUUAGCUAGUUGGUGAGGUAAUGGCUCACCAAGGCGACGAUCCGUAACUGGUCUGAGAGGAUGAUCAGUCACACUGGAACUGAGACACGGUCCAGACUCCUACGGGAGGCAGCAGUGGGGAAUUUUGGACAAUGGGCGAAAGCCUGAUCCAGCAAUGCCGCGUGAGUGAAGAAGGCCUUCGGGUUGUAAAGCUCUUUUGUCAGGGAAGAAACGGUGAAGGCUAAUAUCCUUCGCUAAUGACGGUACCUGAAGAAUAAGCACCGGCUAACUACGUGCCAGCAGCCGCGGUAAUACGUAGGGUGCAAGCGUUAAUCGGAAUUACUGGGCGUAAAGCGUGCGCAGGCGGUUUUGUAAGUCUGACGUGAAAUCCCCGGGCUCAACCUGGGAAUUGCGUUGGAGACUGCAAGGCUAGAAUCUGGCAGAGGGGGGUAGAAUUCCACGUGUAGCAGUGAAAUGCGUAGAGAUGUGGAGGAACACCGAUGGCGAAGGCAGCCCCCUGGGUCAAGAUUGACGCUCAUGCACGAAAGCGUGGGGAGCAAACAGGAUUAGAUACCCUGGUAGUCCACGCCCUAAACGAUGUCUACUAGUUGUCGGGUUUUAAUUAACUUGGUAACGCAGCUAACGCGUGAAGUAGACCGCCUGGGGAGUACGGUCGCAAGAUUAAAACUCAAAGGAAUUGAC